ACAUGCAUACAACAUAGCAUUAAUGCACUGGAUCCCAUUAGAAAUCCACAGUUAAGCAUGCUCAGGCUAGAGUAGUACUAGGAAUCGUGACCACCCGAGAAGUCCUAGUGUUUUACAUGCC
rnacentral:rRNA from 1 species